rnacentral:rRNA from 1 species
AGAACGAACGCUGGCGGCAUGCCUAACACAUGCAAGUCGAACGCUUUUGGGGCUUCGGUCCCAAAGGAGUGGCGCACGGGUGAGUAGCGCGUGGGAACCUGCCCUGUUGUGGGGGAUAACCGAGGGAAACUUCGGCUAAUACCGCAUACGCCCGGGGGAAACUCCGGGGAAAGAUUUAUCGCAGCAGGAGGGGCCCGCGUCGGAUUAGGUAGUUGGUGGGGUAACGGCCCACCAAGCCUGUGAUCCGUAGCUGGUCUGAGAGGAUGAUCAGCCACACUGGGACUGAGACACGGCCCAGACUCCUACGGGAGGCAGCAGUGGGGAAUAUUGGACAAUGGGCGCAAGCCUGAUCCAGCAAUGCCGCGUGAGUGAUGAAGGCCUUCGGGUUGUAAAGCUCUUUCAGUGGGGAAGAUAAUGACGGUACCCACAGAAGAAGCCCCGGCUAACUUCGUGCCAGCAGCCGC